rnacentral:lncRNA from 1 species
GCAUGUUUUUAGUAUAUUUUCUUGCAUUUGAAGGAAAAUUAUAAGUCAAUUAGAGGAAUUGUCACUAGUUUGAGGAACGUUUUGUAUUUUUUUCACUCGAGUCGUUGUAAUUUACUUUUAUCAUGCAUUUUCAUAGGUGUUUUUAGCGUUUUCUAGUGAGAAAUCAUGCAAAUCGAGAAAUCUAGACAUCAUGUGAAGGAUCAAUGAUAUGAAGAUUAAAGACAAUGAUUUUUAGCUGAAAUCGAUAAGACGGAAGGACGAGCGAAAAUAGCUGAAAUCGCACUUGAGGGGUUGCCUCAUAUUCCUCUCCGCACGAGGCCAUGUGCCCCUGUGCAUGGAGGAGCUUUAGCUACUUCCCCAUGCGCGCCGCACAUGGACUAGACUAGGGAGUGCUGAUUGGGAAGUCCCUUUUGGUGGAAAACCCCUAUUUUCACUCUCUUAACCCCUAAGAAACCUUGAACUAUAAAUAGAGACCGUUGCAUACACUUUAACUCAUUCAAAAAACUAGCGGUGGCAAGGCAAGGGUCAAGCAUCAAGAGCUUUAAGGAAGAGGAUCUCCAUCCUCCUCUUGUUCUCUCUAGGGUGUGUUUUUCAAUUAUUUUGUAAUGAUGUCCGUUUCCAUGAGCGACUUAACCUCUUUGAGUAGAGCUUCACGAUGAACCCCUUCUUAUUGUUGGAUUGUUUUAAUAAAGUUUUUAUCUAACUUAUAAUAUAAAGUAUGAGUUAUUUGUAUAUAUAUGUUUCUAUACCACAUCCUAGAUUGAGCAAUGU